rnacentral:rRNA from 1 species
AUUGAACGCUGGCGGCAGGCCUAACACAUGCAAGUCGAACGAGUGGCGGACGGGUGAGUAAUGUAUGGGGAUCUGCCUGAUAGAGGGGGAUAACUACUGGAAACGGUGGCUAAUACCGCAUACUAUCGGAUGUACCCAUAUGGGAUUAGCUAGUAGGUGGGGUAAAGGCUCACCUAGGCGACGAUGCCUAGCUGGUCUGAGAGGAUGAUCAGCCACACUGGGACUGGGACACGGCCCAGACUCCUACGGGAGGCAGCAGUGGGGAAUAUUGCACAAUGGGCGAAAGCCUGAUGCAGCCAUGCCGCGUGUAUGAAGAAGGCUUUAGGGUUGUAAAGUACUGUCAGCGGGGAGGCGUUACCUGCACAAGAAGCAACGGCUAACUACGUGCCAGCCGCCGCGGUAAUAC